UGCAGUCGAGGGGUAACAGGAGUAGCUUGCUAUUUNCUGACGACCGGCGCACGGGUGCGUAACGCGUAUAGAAUCUACCUUAUACUGGGGGAUAGCCUUUGGAAACGAAGAUUAAUACCCCAUAGUAUUAUUUUUUGGCAUCAUUAAAUAAUUAAAGUUUCGGCGGUAUAAGAUGACUAUGCGUUCUAUUAGUUAGUUGGUAAGGUAACGGCUUACCAAGACUUCGAUAGAUAGGGGUCCUGAGAGGGAGAUCCCCCACACUGGUACUGAGACACGGACCAGACUCCUACGGGAGGCAGCAGUGAGGAAUAUUGGACAAUGGAGGCAACUCUGAUCCAGCCAUGCCGCGUGUAGGAAGACUGCCCUAUGGGUUGUAAACUACUUUUAUAUGGGAAGAAUAAGAUCUACGUGUAGAUNGAUGACGGUACCAUAAGAAUAAGCACCGGCUAACUCCGUGCCAGCAGCCGCGGUAAUACGGAGGGUGCAAGCGUUAUCCGGAAUCAUUGGGUUUAAAGGGUCCGUAGGCGGGCAUAUAAGUCAGUGGUGAAAGUCUGUGGCUNAACCAUAGAAUUGCCAUUGAUACUGUAUGUCUUGAAUUAUUGUGAAGUGGUUAGAAUAUGUAGUGUAGCGGUGAAAUGCUUAGAGAUUACAUAGAAUACCGAUUGCGAAGGCAGAUCACUAACAAUAUAUUGACGCUGAUGGACGAAAGCGUAGGUAGCGAACAGGAUUAGAUACCCUGGUAGUCUACGCCGUAAACGAUGGAUACUAGUUGUUUGGUUUUCGGACUGAGUGACUAAGCGAAAGUGAUAAGUAUCCCACCUGGGGAGUACGUUCGCAAGAAUGAAACUCAAAGGAAUUGACGGGGGCCCGCACNAGCGGUGGAGCAUGUGGUUUAAUUCGAUGAUACGCGAGGAACCUUACCAGGGCUUAAAUGUAGUCUGACAGCUUUAGAGAUAGAGUUUUCUUCGGACAGAUUACAAGGUGCUGCAUGGUUGUCGUCAGCUCGUGCCGUGAGGUGUCAGGUUAAGUCCUAUAACGAGCGCAACCCCUGUGGUUAGUUGCCAGCGAGUAAUGUCGGGAACUCUAGCCAGACUGCCGGUGCAAACCGUGAGGAAGGUGGGGAUGACGUCAAAUCAUCACGGCCCUUACGUCCUGGGCCACACACGUGCUACAAUGGUAGGGACAGAGAGCAGCCACUUAGCGAUAAGGAGCGAAUCUAUAAACCCUAUCUCAGUUCGGAUUGGAGUCUGCAACUCGACUCCAUGAAGC
rnacentral:rRNA from 1 species